AAAUAUUGUAACUUAAAAUCAAAAUUAAAUUUGUUUCAAAUUUCAAACUCUUCGUUAAGCAUUGGAGUCAUUCAAAGAACGUAAGGCUCAUCAGGGUGUAUAUAAUAAAUUAGUUUUUAUGAUCACUAAAUAAAAAUAGAAUUGUUUUUAUAAUAGUUAACUAUGUUUGCAGAAUAAAUAAACUUGAUGUAUAUCUCCAUAAACUCCGUUUAUUUCCGCAAAGAGUAUUCGCUUUAGCUUAUUCAAUCAGGAGAUCGUGAACCGAAAUUAUGUCAACACACACACAAGCAUGGUAAACAAACAAACUUAGACCUCAUAUUCGUAAAAAAAAAAAAAAAGUAAGAAACGCUUGUAUUCAAAACCGGCAUCUGUUGAAUAAACGGCUCCUGAAAGUAUAUUCUGAGCAAAUGACAACGAAUAAUUUUGCUUUUUUUUAUUUUCACCGCAGGAAGUUUAAGCCAUUUAACUCUAGCUUGUACUAUAACUUCUCUUUGUCUCUUAGCACAAUGCUUGAAAAUAUUUUGUUCGAGUACUUGAAGUUUCAAUGCUUGAAUAGUCGGUGAAGUGAACUAAUUUCAAACCAAUGCACAGACAACCAAAAUUGUUUGACUGUAAUUGCAGAGCUAAAAUUUUAUGCUGCGUUACCAUAGCAAUCGCAGCGGUGGCGCCACCAAUUCUCUGAUUUCCCUCCAAUUUAACAGUCCUGGCGUGUUUGUUUACAUCAUUAAAAAGUUGUACUAGUUUUUUAUUUAUUAAAAAUAAUUACCUAGCUGUAUUACAACUGAUAUUAUAAUUUGGAUGGAUUCUUGGGUAUGAAAAAAGUUGUUCGAAUGGGAUUUACCAUCUCUGCAACAAAUCUUUGAAGCAAACGAACGUUGAUGAAAUUGAUGCUGAAGUCUAGGAAGUCUAUUCAUUUUUUUUAACCGAAAAAGAAAAAUUUUUACUCGAAUUAAUACAUAAUAGAUUUACUUCGAAUAUAGUUAAGAAGCUUAUCAAUAAAAUAAAGUUAAGAUGGUCUAUUGUAGACCGGAUAUUACUAAAGAUGGGCGAAUACAAUUGUUAAAUUAUAACAUAUGUGUUCCAAUCUCAGCCUGAUGGAAGAUCAAAGAAUAUAGAAAGAUUUUUAUGUCAGCCUGAUAGGUAAGAUCCGAAAUGUUGAGCUAUUGAUCAGUACAUUAGCAUGAGUAGCUAAAUCAGUAUAUUAAGGUUUCAAUCAAUGCUUAAUUGCUAUGACAAGACCACAUUCAAAUCAAGAGAAGAUCACAGGAUAUUGGAAAAUUUUUAUCAGUCUGAUGAUCAAAGCAUGAUA